GACGAACGCUGGCGGCGUGCCUAAUACAUGCAAGUCGAGCGCAGGAAAUCGACGGAACCCUUCGGGGGGAAGUCGACGGAAUGAGCGGCGGACGGGUGAGUAACACGUAAAGAACCUGCCCUCAGGUCUGGGAUAACCACGAGAAAUCGGGGCUAAUACCGGAUGGGUCAUCGGACCGCAUGGUCCGAGGAUGAAAGGCGCUUCGGCGUCGCCUGGGGAUGGCUUUGCGGUGCAUUAGCUAGUUGGUGGGGUAAUGGCCCACCAAGGCGACGAUGCAUAGCCGACCGGAGAGGGUGAUCGGCCACACUGGGACUGAGACACGGCCCAGACUCCUACGGGAGGCAGCAGUAGGGAAUCUUCCACAAUGGACGAAAGUCUGAUGGAGCAACGCCGCGUGAACGGUGAAGGCCUUCGGGUCGUAAAGUUCUGUUGUAAGGGAAGAACAAGUGCCGCAGGCAAUGGCGGCACCUUGACGGUACCUUGCGAGAAAGCCACGGCUAACUACGUGCCAGCCGCCGCCGUAA
rnacentral:rRNA from 1 species